CGGUGGCCGCGGCGGCGCCGCAUCAAAGCCGUAAUCUCCUCCCGUUGGUCACCACCGGUGACUCAUCCCAACCUCCCUCCACCGCCGCUAUAAAUGGGCUCCAACCACCACCUCCCGGACCUCCUCGGGUCUUCUCCUCCUCCAUCGGCCAUGGCUCAUGGUGGACGUGGACCUCUGGGGUUCCUCCUGGGUCUCCUCCUCCUCCCGUUGGGGGCGUUGGUGACCACCACAGCUGCUCAAGGCCAAAGCAACGCCAGCGGUGAAGUGGACGAGUCGCGCAUCAUCGGCGGCCGCCCGUGUUCCAUCACCCAACGGCCCUUCCAGGUGGCCCUCCUCAAGGGGGGACACAUCCUCUGCGGGGGGUCCCUGGUGUCCCCCUCCUACGUCCUGACGGCCGCUCACUGCAGAAGACCCGUCUCGGAGUACAGAGUCCUCCUGGGGGUGGACAGAUUGCACGACGGCUCCGGAGAGGUCCGUGCGGUGACCGCCGCCCGCGUCCACCCCCGCUACGACCCCCGGCGCAACGACAACGACUUCAUGCUCCUCAAGUUGGACAAACCCGUCCCGUUGUCCUCUCGGAUCAAAACCAUCCGCUUGGCCACCGCCUGUCCGCGCCCGGGAAUGCGCUGCAGCGUCUCCGGGUGGGGGACCACCAGGUCCCCAGGAGCCGCGUUACCGGAGAGGCUCCAAUGCGCCGACAUUGAGACCUUCGGACCAUCGCGGUGCUCUCGCGCCUACGGCGACGCCGUCACCCGCAACAUGUUCUGCGCCGGCGUCCCCCAGGGCGGCAUCGACUCCUGCCAGGGCGACUCCGGUGGCCCUCUGGUGUGCGAUGGGGUCCUCCAGGGCGUGGUCUCCUGGGGUUUGGCCGUCUGUGGGCGCAGAGGGACACCCGGAGUCUACUCCAACGUCUGCCGGGCGGCGCGGUGGGUGCGGCAGUGGACGGGGGGACAGCACUGAGGACAUCGGCUCCACCAUCAGCUCCACCACCUCCAUCACCAUCAGCUCCACCAUCAGCUCCACCACCUCCAUCAUCAUCAGCUCCACCUGAGGGACCUCCUGGAGGUGGGAACUCAUCUUCAUCAUCAUCUCCACCACCUCCAUCAUCUCAACUCCAUCACCUCCACCUGAGGGACCUCCUGGAGGUGGGACCUCAUCUCCACCAGUUCCACCAGUCCAACCAGUCCCACCAUCUCCACCCAAGGGACCUCUUGGAGGUGGAACCUCACCUCCAUCGUCAUCUCCAUCGUCUCAACUCCACCAUCUCCACCUGAGGGACCUCCUGGAGGUGGGAUCUCCUCUCCACCAUCUCCACCAUCUCCUG